rnacentral:rRNA from 1 species
UACAGAGGGUGCGAGCGUUUAAUCGGAAUUACUGGGCGUAAAGCGUGCGUAGACGGUUAUGUAAGUCAGGUGUGAAAGCCCCGGGCUCAACCUGGGAAUGGCAUUUGAGACUGCAUAGCUAGGGUGCGGAAGAGGGAAGCGGAAUUUCCGGUGUAGCGGUGAAAUGCGUAGAUAUCGGAAGGAACAUCAGUGGCGAAAGCGGCUUCCUGGUCCAGCACCGACGUUCAGGCACGAAAGCGUGGGGAGCAAACAGG